rnacentral:rRNA from 1 species
GCAAUGGACGAAAGUCUGACCGAGCAACGCCGCGUGAGUGAAGAAGGUUUUCGGAUCGUAAAGCUCUGUUGUAAGUCAAGAACGUGUGUGAGAGUGGAAAGUUCACACAGUGACGGUAGCUUACCAGAAAGGGACGGCUAACUACGUGCCAGCAGCCGCGGUAAUACGUAGGUCCCGAGCGUUGUCCGGAUUUAUUGGGCGUAAAGGGAGCGCAGGCGGUCAGGAAAGUCUGGAGUAAAAGGCUAUGGCUCAACCAUAGUGUGCUCUGGAAACUGUCUGACUUGAGUGCAGAAGGGGAGAGUGGAAUUCCAUGUGUAGCGGUGAAAUGCGUAGAUAUAUGGAGGAACACCAGUGGCGAAAGCGGCUCUCUGGUCUGUCACUGACGCUGAGGCUCGAAAGCGUGGGUAGCGAACAGGAUUAGAUACCCUGGUAGUCCACGCCGUAAACGAUGAGUGCUAGGUGUUAGGCCCUUUCCGGGGCUUAGUGCCGGAGCUAACGCAAUAAGCACUCCGCCUGGGGAGUACGACCGCAAGGUUGAAACUCAAAGGAAUUGACGGGGGCCCGCACAAGCGGUGGAAGCAUGUGGUUUAAUUC